GCACUUCUGGCGAGUCCCAAACAGGACGAAACAGCUGUUCAGUGC
rfam:Echinostoma caproni strain Egypt genome assembly, scaffold: ECPE_contig0001961